rnacentral:rRNA from 1 species
ACAGUGGACGCGAGCAUCUGUGGCCAAGUUUUUAAGGGCGCACGGUGGAUGCCUUGGCACCAGGAACCGAUGAAGGACGUGGGAGGCCACGAUAGUCCCCGGGGAGUCGUCAACCAGGCUUUGAUCCGGGGGUUUCCGAAUGGGGAAACCCGGCAGUCGUCAUGGGCUGUCACCCGCUGCUGAACACAUAGGCAGUGUGGAGGGAACGCGGGGAAGUGAAACAUCUCAGUACCCGCAGGAAGAGAAAACAACCGUGAUUCCGGGAGUAGUGGCGAGCGAAACCGGAUGAGGCCAAACCGUAUACGUGUGAGACCCGGCAGGGGUUGCGUGUGCGGGGUUGUGGGAUCUCUCUUCCACGGUCUGCCGGCCGUGGGACGAGUCAGAAACCGUUGAUGUAGGCGAAGGACAUGCGAAAGGUCCGGCGUAGAGGGUAAGACCCCCGUAGUCGAAACGUCAGCGGCUCGUUUGAGAGACACCCAAGUAGCACGGGGCCCGAGAAAUCCCGUGUGAAUCUGGCGGGACCACCCGCUAAGCCUAAAUAUUCCCUGGUGACCGAUAGCGGAUAGUACCGUGAGGGAAUGGUGAAAAGUACCGCGGGAGCGGAGUGAAAUAGUACCUGAAACCGUGUGCCUACAAGCCGUGGGAGCGUCGGAUGCAGCUUGCUGCAUCUCGUGACUGCGUGCCUUUUGAAGAAUGAGCCUGCGAGUUUGCGGUGUGUUGCGAGGUUAACCCGGGUGGGGAAGCCGUAGCGAAAGCGAGUCCGAACAGGGCGAUUCAGUAGCACGCUCAAGACCCGAAGCGGAGUGAUCUAGCCAUGGGCAGGUUGAAGCGGAGGUAAGACUUCGUGGAGGACCGAACCCACCAGGGUUGAAAACCUGGGGGAUGACCUGUGGUUAGGGGUGAAAGGCCAAUCAAACUCCGUGAUAGCUGGUUCUCCCCGAAAUGCAUUUAGGUGCAGCGUCGUGUGUUUCUUGCCGGAGGUAGAGCACUGGAUAGGCGAUGGGCCCUACCGGGUUACUGACCUUAGCCAAACUCCGAAUGCCGGUAAGUGAGAGCGCGGCAGUGAGACUGUGGGGGAUAAGCUCCAUGGUCGAGAGGGAAACAGCCCAGAGCAUCGACUAAGGCCCCUAAGCGUACGCUAAGUGGGAAAGGAUGUGGAGUCGCACAGACAACCAGGAGGUUGGCUUAGAAGCAGCCACCCUUGAAAGAGUGCGUAAUAGCUCACUGGUCUAGUGAUUCCGCGCCGACAAUGUAGCGGGGCUCAAGCGUACCGCCGAAGUCGUGUCAUUCAUACAACAGGGCCAACGCCUGUAUGGAUGGGUAGGGGAGCGUCGUGUGCCGGGUGAAGCAGCGCCGGAAGGCAGUUGUGGACGGUUCACGAGUGAGAAUGCAGGCAUGAGUAGCGAUACAAACGUGAGAAACGUUUGCGCCGAUUGACUAAGGGUUCCUGGGUCAAGCUGAUCUGCCCAGGGUAAGUCGGGACCUAAGGCGAGGCCGACAGGCGUAGUCGAUGGAUAACCGGUUGAUAUUCCGGUACCCGCUGUGAAGCGUCAAACAUCGAGCAUCGUGAUGCUAAGGCCGUGAAGCCGCCCUGAUCUCUUCGGAGUUGAGGGGAGUGGUGGAGCCGCCGAACCAAGCGGUUAGUAGGUGAGUGAUGGGGUGACGCAGGAAGGUAGUCCAUCCCGGGCGGUGGUUGUCCCGGGGUAAGGGUGUAGGCCGGUGUGUAGGUAAAUCCGCACACCUUGUGGCUGAGACCUGAUGCCGAGCCGAUUGUGGUGAAGUGGAUGAUCCUAUGCUGUCGAGAAAAGCCUCUAGCGAGUUUCAUGGCGGCCCGUACCCUAAACCGACUCAGGUGGUCAGGUAGAGAAUACCGAGGCGUUCGGGUGAACUAUGGUUAAGGAACUCGGCAAAAUGCCCCCGUAACUUCGGGAGAAGGGGGGCCACACCCGGUGACCGGAUUUACUCCGUGAGCUGGGGGUGGCCGCAGAGACCAGCGAGAAGCGACUGUUUACUAAAAACACAGGUCCGUGCGAAGCCGUAAGGCGAUGUAUACGGACUGACGCCUGCCCGGUGCUGGAACGUUAAGGGGACCGGUUAGCUCCAUUUCGGUGGGGCGAAGCUGAGAACUUAAGCGCCAGUAAACGGCGGUGGUAACUAUAACCAUCCUAAGGUAGCGAAAUUCCUUGUCGGGUAAGUUCCGACCUGCACGAAUGGCGUAACGACUUCUCGACUGUCUCAACCAUAGGCCCGGUGAAAUUGCACUACGAGUAAAGAUGCUCGUUUCGCGCAGCAGGACGGAAAGACCCCGGGACCUUUACUACAGUUUGAUAUUGGUGUUCGGUUCGGCUUGUGUAGGAUAGCUGGGAGACUUUGAAGCUCGCACGCCAGUGUGGGUGGAGUCGUCGUUGAAAUACCAGUCUGGUCGUGCUGGAUGUCUAACCUGGGUCCGUGAUCCGGAUCAGGGACAGUGUCUGAUGGGUAGUUUAACUGGGGCGGUUGCCUCCUAAAGAGUAACGGAGGCGCCCAAAGGUUCCCUCAGCCUGGUUGGCAAUCAGGUGUUGAGUGUAAGUGCACAAGGGAGCUUGACUGUGAGACCGACGGGUCGAGCAGGGACGAAAGUCGGGACUAGUGAUCCGGCGGUGGCUUGUGGAAGCGCCGUCGCUCAACGGAUAAAAGGUACCCCGGGGAUAACAGGCUGAUCUUCCCCAAGAGUCCAUAUCGACGGGAUGGUUUGGCACCUCGAUGUCGGCUCGUCGCAUCCUGGGGCUGGAGUCGGUCCCAAGGGUUGGGCUGUUCGCCCAUUAAAGCGGUACGCGAGCUGGGUUUAGAACGUCGUGAGACAGUUCGGUCCCUAUCCGCUGUGCGCGUAGGAGUCUUGAGAAGGGCUGUCCCUAGUACGAGAGGACCGGGACGGACGAACCUCUGGUGUGCCAGUUGUCCUGCCAAGGGCAUGGCUGGUUGGCUACGUUCGGGAGGGAUAACCGCUGAAAGCAUCUAAGCGGGAAGCCUGCUUCGAGAUGAGGACUCCCACCCCCUUGAGGGGUUAAGGCUCCCAGUAGACGACUGGGUUGAUAGGCCGGAUCUGGAAGCACCGUGAGGUGUGGAGGUGACCGGUACUAAUAGGCCGAGGGCUUGUCCUCAGUUG